rnacentral:rRNA from 1 species
UACGUAGGGUGCGAGCGUUAAUCGGAAUUACUGGGCGUAAAGGGUGCGCAGGCGGUUGAUUAAGUCAGAUGUGAAAUCCCCGGGCUUAACCUGGGAGCUGCAUUUGAGACUGAGAGGCUUGAGUACGGGAGAGGUGAGUGGAAUUCCCAGUGUAGAGGUGAAAUUCGUAGAUAUUAGGAAGAACACCGGUGGCGAAGGCGGCCCACUGGUCCGGUACUGACGCUGAGGUGCGAAAGCGUGGGGAGCAAACAGG